GUGCCAGCCGCCGCGGUAAUACGGAGGGUGCGAGCGUUGUUCGGAAUUACUGGGCGUAAAGGGCGCGCAGGCGGCCUGAUAAGUCAGAUGUGAAAGCCCACGGCUCAACCGUGGAAGUGCAUUUGAAACUGUCUGGCUUGAGUAUCGGAGGGGAGUGUGGAAUUCCCGGUGUAGAGGUGAAAUUCGUAGAGAUCGGGAGGAACACCGGUGGCGAAGGCGACACUCUGGACGAAUACUGACGCUGAGGCGCGAAAGCCGUGGGGAGCAAACAGGAUUAGAUACCCUGGUAGUCCACGCCGUAAACGAUGUUGAACUAGAGGUAGGCGGUGUUGAUCCCGCCUUGUCUC
rnacentral:rRNA from 1 species